rnacentral:rRNA from 1 species
CAGCCAGACUCCUACGGGAGGCAGCAGUGGGGAAUAUUGCACAAUGGGCGAAAGCCUGAUGCAGCAACGCCGCGUGAAGGAAGAAGGGUUUCGGCUCGUAAACUUCUAUCAACAGGGACGAAAGAAAUGACGGUACCUGAAUAAGAAGCACCGGCUAACUCCGUGCCAGCAGCCGCGGUAAUACGGAGGGUGCGAGCGUUAAUCGGAAUUACUGGGCGUAAAGCGCUCGUAGGCGGUAUGUCAAGUCAAGGGUGAAAUCCCCGCGCUCAACGGGGGAACUGCCUUUGAAACUGGCAGGCUGGAGUGUCGGAGAGGCAGGCGGAAUUCCUAGUGUAGCGGUGAAAUGCGUAGAUAUUAGGAGGAACACCAGUGGCGAAGGCGGCUUACUGGACUGUAACUGACGUUGAGGCUCGAAGGCGUGGGGAGCAAACAGGAUUAGAUACCCUUGUA